rnacentral:tRNA from 1 species
GGAUGAUGUCUGAGCGGUUGAAAGAGCGGUCUUGAAAACCGAAGUAUUUUUAGGAUACCGGGGUUCGAAUCCCUCUCCAUCCG